CCUGACCUGCAUGGACUUCAUCCACAUGGCUCAGUUCCUCACCCGCCUGCCUGACCUCAUCCCCGGAGCAGCUCUUCCAGCACAUCGCCUCUAUUCACAUGACCAGUCGCAACAGGAAGUGGGCACAGGUCCUGCAGGCGUUACAGAAAAAUCAGGAGGCGAGGCAGCCCGGUGCUGAAGCACUGAGCUAUGAUCAGAGGAAAACCACCAUACACUAACGGACUCAACCAGAAUAACUGGACUCGUAGCAGGCUGGAAGGACCUGCGCGAGACCUUUGUUCAACUUCAAAGGGACAUAUCUGGUUGUAGCCGCUGUAAUAAACCUCUUCUCCAGAGCCAUGUCACUGCUCUAACUGGAACCAGGACCCUGGAGGGGUCUGUCAGAGAUGAGGGAGAGGUGUGAAAAGGAAAACGAGGCCUUAUUUAUCUCUCACCACCCCUCCUCUGCUCAGAGACCCAGCAGGGGACUGGAAAGUGUAACUGGCAGAGGCUGAAGAAUGUAUCACACACUCCCACAUACACUCUUACCUACCAUGCUGAUUGAGGUCUCCACAGACCAGAGGAAACCAUAACGAUACCAGUUACUACUCAAAUCCUCCACUUAGAUUUAAAUUCUCUGCUGUCACCGCUCUUUUUAGCUACAGUUGAGCUAGUCUUUUCUUACGUUGGCUAUUUUUAAUGACAAAACAAAAGUCUACAUAUGACUCCCCAAUCUCUAAAAAGACAGAGAUUAGUAAUAGUAAUGUCCUGAAAUGAUGUGAACCUCAGCUAGUGUCUCUGUGUGUCUCAAUCUUCCUUCAUGUCCUCUGAGUUGAUUUUGUCUUUUGACCUCAGUGUGCUUUUCAUUUUCCAGUUGGUACAGAUUUGUUUCAUGAACCAUUCCAUGAAGUCAACUCUCAGUCUUGAAGCGUGUUUUGUCAGUUAAAAUCCAUGAAAAUGCACAUAUCCUUCAUGCUGUAGGUUAAACAUCUGAAGACAAAUUUGGUGUCUCUGAGAGCACCACAUUGUUACAUUUAAUGAAUUUUUUUACCCUCUAAAAAAGAGGUCAUAAGCUGCCUGUAAAAUGCAUUUUACUGUGUAUUUAUGUCAAUGAAACUGGAGUUAAUAAUGAGGUAAUGUGUUGCUGUUAGACACACAGAACAUAUAGUGUCAGACAUGGACAUGCUCUAAAUAAGUUUGAGGUACAUUUCAGCUUGUUAGUGUUUUGCUUCCUGAUGUCUUGGUGUGAGUAUGAUGUCUUUAAAUUUUGUAUUUAUUUAAUAUUUAUCAAUCCAGUCAAAUUAAGUAAUUGUUAGUUGCAGCCCUACACAGAGAAGUCAGCAUAUCCACACAAGCGUGUUAAAAGUAAAUAUAUACUGUUAUCUAAGGGCCCCACACAGCAACUUGACAAUCAGCUAUGGGGCACUGCACGGCCUUUGUGUCUGUGGCAAACCGUUACUUCUAGUUCUGUGGCGUGUCUGUCCUUUAACAGCAUCUGUCCGACUGGUUGUUCAGCCUUGCAAAUCAAUGAUUUCACCCAUUAAGUACAGUUUCUCAUCCCUUUUUGUCUGCCAUUAAUACAAGCAACAGACCCAAGACCCAACACCAGUCCAAACAAAGCAAAACUUGUGAGGAGACUGUUUCACAGAUUCACAGUGGCAUGAAGAUAGUUGGGUAGUUUGUUUUGUUGUUCAUUCCAAAGUGAUGUUUGAAUUACAGAUUCUUAUUUCCUGUCCUGCAGAACAUAUGUGUAUGUCAGUGGUCACCUGGCCCUCUGGUGUAGCUGUAUCAUCUAUCAGGCCUUGUGACCAGCAGUGGGCGGGGCCAGUAUUUACAUCACUGUUGAGGGAAGUUUCAUUACCAGCAUUGUUUUGAUGAGUUAACAUACAGUAGGCGAGACAGUUAAUACACAGCAUUUCUUGAUAAUCAGAUUAAAAAAAAGUGAAGUACCAUCUGACUUUUGAUCCCAUACUGGAAUGCAGCAGUUUGUUAAAUGUCUUUUUGCCCAUUUUGCACAGACCUGUUCAUCAAAUGAAAUAAAAGUUGAGAAGUGCAGGAAUCUCCUUAGCUGUUGAUGUCUGUUGAAGAGUUCAGUUGUCAGAUUUUCUCAGCCAACAAUCUUGAAAAGAAAAAAAAGAAACUGCUGAUGGCAUUUCUCAGUGCGAACACAGUAACUGUCCUGUUAUUGGUUAUGAAGCUGCUUUAUCCGAUGUGUUGUGCUACUGAUUUUGUGUGUGUGAUGGAGUUUACUUCCUUUUGUGCCCUGUAAUAUUAGUGACGUCUCUAUUUGGCCUCAGUUUCAAUUCAAUAGGCUUUAUUGGCAUGACAUUUGGCGUAUCUGUCUAGACUACUGAAGUAUAACACAUACUCUGGGUUUAAAAACAGAAAGCACCUUUCAUUUAUAAAUCAUCAUGUCAGCUGGUUCAUGGCUGCUAACAGACACACUGUCAGUGUUUCAGUGUCUGCAUCAGCUCAGCACCAUGCAGCAGACUUUCUGAUCACUCUUCUUGAUGCACUCCUCCCUCCCACUCUCCCCAGUGUGGUGACACACUGCAGGGCUGCAAUAAAGCUUUUUGCACAUUCAUGGACGCCUUUGAAUUGUGUCUAGCAUUAUCACUUUAUGUCAUCACUUGUCGGUUUUCCAUCCUUUAUUUUUUUGUUUAAGUUUUUUUUGUGCUUAAAGGUCCAGUGUGUAACAUUUAGGAGGAGCUAUUGGCAGAAAUGGAAUAUAAUAUUUAUAAGUAUGUUUUAAUUAGUGUAUAAUCACCUGAAAAUAAGAAUAGUUGUUUUCAUUACCUUUUAGAAUAAGCCAUUUUUUUUCUACAGAGGUCACCAUGUUGCACCACCAUUUUUUACAGUAGCCCAGAACGGACAAACACUGGCUCUAGAUAGGGCUGUUCGCGUUUUUCGUGAGUUUCACAGCCACCGUAGUUUCUCCUACACGCUCGGAAGGGGAGUUUGAGGCAAGCAUUAUUCAAAUGGUUGCAAACUGCAAUUUCACUGCUAGAUGCCACUAAAUUCUACACAUUGGACCUUUAAGGAGUGACCAGCUGAAAAUAUAACUGAAGUGUGUGUGUUUUGCGUGUAUACAUAGUUAAGUGGUAUUUCCAGUAUCAGAUCUGUUAGUUGCAAGUUAGUUGUUACAUUAAAGGCUGGCCUGUGUAUGAAUUGACCCUCCCAGCUCUACUAACACUACCUACUUCCACAAUGGUCAGAAACUAAAUUCAUUUAAACUAAAUUUGAAUAAAAAGGGUAAUAUGCUGUUGCCUAAUGAUCUGUUUGAUUUGCAGGAUAUCUGUAAUUUCUUGGGUUGUUUUGCAUUGUCUGUUUUUUUCCCCUCAAGAGACCUGUGUGCUGUAGAGGACUGAUAGACAUACAUGGAGACAGAGGGUUACCAUGCAGCUGUAUCUCACUUAAAGUGUGUAUAAACAGUUUUUUAAUUAAAAUAAAGAACUAUACAUAUUCAA